GACAGAAGGUGCAAGCGUUACUCGGAAUUACUGGGCGUAAAGCGUCUGUAGGUGUCUGGCCACGUCUGGUGUGAAAUCUCAGGGCUUAACCCUGUGCCCACACUGGAAACGAGUCAGAUCGAGUCACUCAGAGGCAUCUGGAAUGUCGUGUGUAGGGGUAAAAUCCGUAGAUACACGAUGGAACGCCAAAAGCGAAAGCAGGAUGCUGGGGGUGUACUGACACUCAGAGACGAAAGCGUGGGGAGCAAAGGGG
rnacentral:rRNA from 1 species